CCUACGGGGGGCUGCAGUAACGAAUCUUCCGCAAUGCACGAAAGUGUGACGGAGCGACGCCGCGUGUAGGAUGAAGUCCUUCGGGAUGUAAACUACUGUCAGGGGAAAGAAAGUUCUGAUCUACCCCAGAGGAAGAGACGGCUAACUCUGUGCCAGCAGCCGCGGUAAUACAGAGGUCUCGAGCGUUAGGCGGAAUCACUGGGCUUAAAGCGUGUGUAGGCGGAUCGGUAAGUACCUUGUGAAAUCCCACAGCUUAACUGUGGAACUGCUUGGUAUACUGCCAGUCUUGAGCCAGCUAGGGGCGACCGGAACAAAUGGUGGAGCGGUGAAAUGCGUAGAUAUCAUUUGGAACGCCAAUGGUGAAAACAGGUCGCUGGGGCUGUGCUGACGCUGAGACACGAAAGCCAGGGGAGCAAACGGGAUUAGAUACCCUAGUAGUC
rnacentral:rRNA from 1 species